GAAUGAAACGCGAACUUCAGUUUGCGGUCCCAACAAGCAAAAUUGCGAGCCAGCUCUAUAAGAGUCUACAAAAAAUGAAGAAGGUAUGGUUGUUAAUAGUGCUGUCAUUAUCAACGUCCGUUUUGCAUCAUGCUUCGGCCAGGUACUGCGACUAUAAGGAGAGCUUACACCGCUUUUGGAACGGUUCUUGCUUGUUCAGGCAUGUUUACUUGAGGGACGGGCAAAACCAUUUCCCAAGACACCGUUGCGAGAGGUGGGAAUGCAGUGACGGAGAUAUAUGGGUAACAGGGUGCCCAAAACCAUCAGAUUUUGAUCAAUGGGGACCACUUGAUACCGAUCCAUACAUGUGGGAGAAGUGGCCUUAUUGUUGCUAAUGCAAUAAAGUAUUAUUGUUUUCACUUUACUAAA